UCAUUUAAAUGUCUGUGUGCAGGCUGCAGCCGGCACUGCCUCGGCGGCCGCCCCGGGAGACCCCCGCCAGCUCCCGGGGACGAUGCCCAGGCAAAGCACCGGCACAGAGCCGGGGUUUGGCAGCCUGGGGUGACUCGGCCCCGGCGAGGACGGAGCGGUGCCGGGGUGCCCGGGGGGUCCCGCUGCAGAGCAUGGGAGAGCCCCCAGCGCGCUGAGCCGAGCAGCGCCGGCCAGGGCACGGAGGAGUGGACAGCGGGGGGGUCCCAGUGGAUGGACCCCCUAAAGCCAGGCCCCCGAUGUCGGCGGCACUGCUGCUCUGGGUCGUUCUCCUCCGCUGGGCCAGCGGCGGGGGCUCCAUGCGGGGAGGCCGGACGUGGCAGCACUGCACAGACCUGCGCCCGCUGGACAUCCUGUCGGAGGCGGUGCCGGCCGGGGGGCUGGCCCGCGGCAUGCGGGUGUUCCAGGUGCAGGGGGUGCGCGGCUUCCAGCUCUCCGCCUCGCGGCCCCGCGCCCUGGGCUUCCCCGCCUCGCGGCUCUUCAUCCACUGCGACCGCUUCCCCGAGGAAUUCUCCAUCAUCGUCACGCUGCGGGCGCUCCGCGGCCCCGCCAAGAGGAACGAGUACAUCUUCACGCUGAUGGUGGAGGAGAGCCCCAGCGUGCUGGUGGGGCUGCGCUACGCCCCCGACAAGCUGCACUUCCUCUUCUGGAGCCAGGAGCGCGCCGGCGGCUGGCAGACCCGCGUCACCUUCCCCAACGUGUCCCUCUCCGACAACCAGUGGCACACGCUCGUCCUGGCUGUCUCCGGCCAGUCCUUCUCCUUGACGGUGGACUGCAGCAUCCCCAAGGAUGUGGUGGUGGAGACACCAUUUCCAGCCUCGCUGUCGGUGAGGAGAGCCAGCUUCUACCUCGGCAACAGGCGGAGAAGGAAAGGCGUGUUCACGGGCUUGCUGAGACAGCUUGUCCUGCUGCCAGGAGCCGAUGCCACCCCUCGGAUAUGCCACGCCGUGAACUUCAAAGUAGCAACGCUCUCUGUCCCCACUGUCCUCCAGGAUGUCCCUGCAAAGCCAGUGAGCAACGAGGUGCUCAAAUACCCCUACGAGACCGACAUGAAGGUGACCCUGGGGGCCCGUCCACGCUGCACCAAGCAGGAGAAGGCGCAGUUCUGGUUCAAUGCCUCCCGACGAGGGCUGUACCUCUGCAAUGGCAGCACCUGGCUCUCCAUGCUGGAAGUCCAACACAGGCUGGACUACGUGGAGGAGUACCAAAACCUGGUGACCAACUCGGAGACAAUGGGCAUUGAGGUCUUCACCAUCCCAAAGGUGGGACUGUUUGCAGCCGUGGCCAACCGGGUCACGCCCCCGGGAUCGGCCAUCUACAGGUGGAUUGACGGGAAGUUCGUGCACUACCAGAACAUCCCCACCUACCAAGCUCAGUCCUGGAAGUAUUUCACCAUUGGGAAGAAGAUCUUCCUGGCAGUGGCGAAUUUUGAGCAGAACGAGAGGGGUCAGGAGUUCUCUGUGAUAUACAAGUGGAGCCGCAGGAAAGCGAAGUUCAUCACCUACCAACGCAUCACCACGCACAGCGCCAGGGACUGGGAGGCCUUUGUCAUCGAGGGAGAGGCUUUCCUCGCUGUGGUCAACCACAGACAAGGGAACAACCACAACAUAGACAGUGUGAUAUACAGGUGGAACCCCAGGACAGGGCUGUUUGAAACUAACCAGACCAUUCCUACCUCUGGAGCCUACGACUGGGAAUUUUUCACCAUCGGACCAUAUUCCUUCCUGGCGGUAGCUAACACGUUCAAUGGCACAUCCACUAAGAUCUACUCACACAUCUACAUCUGGCUCAGUGGCUCUUUCCAGCUCUUCCAGUCUAUCCUGACAUUCGGUGCUGCCGACUGGGAGGUUUUUCAUAUUGGGGACAGAGUCUUUCUGGCUGUUGCCAACAGCCACAGCUAUGACAGCGGGAUGCCAGCACCCUCCAACUUCUACGCCAUCAACUCCUCCAUCUAUGAGCUGAACAUCACGGCCCAGAUGUUUGUUAAAUUCCAGGACCUUCUCACCUACAGUGCCCUGGACUGGGAGUUCUUCUCAGUGGGAGACGACUCUUUUCUGGUGGUAGCAAACUCCUUUGAUGGCUUCACCUUCUCUGUUAACAGCAUCAUCUACAGGUGGCAAGGCUACGAAGGCUUUGUGGCAGCCCAUCACCUCCCCACCGUGGGCUGUAGAGACUGGGAGGCGUUUCACACUGCUGAGGGCUCCUACCUGUUCUACUCCAGCGCCAAGGAGCCACUUUCCAAGGUGCUCAAGCUGAAAACCACCUGAGGCGGCCGAGACGCGCUCAGCUCAUCGCCAGCACCAGGACAAGCUGGGCAUCCAGGCGGCCUCCCUGUUGUGCCGGACGUAGCAGAUCACGUAGACGAUGACCAUGGCGAACCAGCCAAACAUGGUGAUGAACAUGGCCACGUCCAUGGUCCUCUGGCGCACGCUGCAGAAGUUGACGCCGGCAUCCAGGACCUGGAGCAGCGGCUUGCCCACGUACUCCUGCCGCGGGGCCGUGUGGCAGGUGAUGUCCUGGACGGAGUCGGGGUCCAGCCGUGCCUCCCACAGCACCUCCUGCAAGGCACACUCGCAGUGCCAAGGGUUGUUGGCCAGCCGGAGCUUGGCGUUGAGUGCCAGCAAGGCCUCCUUGGGAAUGCUGCUGAUGCGGUUGCUGGAGAGGUCGAGGGUCCGCAGCCCAGCUGCCAGCCCUUUGAAAGCUGCCCUGUCGAUCUUCUCGAUGGCAUUCCUGGAGAGGUCGAUUUCCUCCAGGUGGGACAGGUGCCUGAAGGCAUUGCUGGGGAUCCUGGUUAUGCUGUUGGCAUCCAGCUUGAGGAACACCGCAUCGGUGGGGAUGUCCUUGGGGAUCUCCUCCAGGUGCUGGGAGCUGCAGAGGACAGCCUUUGCCCCUGCCUGCUCUGUGCACUGGCAGCUGGGGGGGCACGAGCUGCCCCAGGGGAUGCAGAGCAGGAGGCAGAAAGCCUGGGCCACACUGGUGGCUGGUGUGGUGGUGGUGAGGGUCAUCUUGCUGCCAGCCAGCUCAGCUUGGCUGCUGGUAGCUCCCUGGGGGUGGCAGCAGCUCCUGGGCAGCAGGACGGCCCCUCGGUGUUCCUGCAAGGCCUCUCCCAUCACUGAAGGGAAGCUGUGGGUGGAGGGGAUAUGACACGGCAUUAUUUCCUGGAACACGGGGUAUGGCUCUUGUAUGGUGUGCCCUGGCAAAGGGGUGAGAGGCUGGGCUCAGGAGACCAGAAAACAAGGGUGGAGUGGCACUGGCUAUCUUUUCCAGGACAGCUUGACUUGGUUGAAUUAGAAAUAGAGCUGUGGAGAUUGAAACCCCAGCUCCCCUACCCCUAUCUGUGCAGAGACCACUCAGGUGGACAAAGGGAGUGGCAGGAUGGAGGUGUGGAGAUGGGCCUGGGAGCCUCUGCCCCAUCCUGCUACCAGUUUCCAGGGGGGAUGUGGUAGUUUGCUGCUGGAGAACAGCAGCAGUAAAAUCCUACCUCACCAACCCUGAGUGUUUAAAAAAAAAUGAUGAGUCAGACUCUGAGGAUCAUCAGACUGACUUAAUCACCACCAGGAUUUUAAAUAACAAGAUGUGGAGCUCUUUUGCUUUCCUUUUCCUUCCCUUCUGGUCUGUGAAUUGGUACAAGUCAUGUCUCCAAGGGUUUCACCAAAGAAGUGUUUGGAGGCGAGUUUGCUUCUUAAAGUAAAGAGUAUGGUUUGAUAGCCUGA